rnacentral:rRNA from 1 species
GAUGAACGCUGGCGGCGUGCCUAAUACAUGCAAGCCGAGCGAACGGACGAGAAGCUUGCUUCUCUGAUGUUAGCGGCGGACGGGUGAGUAACACGUGGAUAACCUACCUAUAAGACUGGGAUAACUUCGGGAAACCGUAGCUAAUACCGGAUAAUAUUUUGAACCGCAUGGUUCAAAAGUGAAAGACGGUCUUGCUGUCACUUAUAGAUGGAUCCGCGCUGCAUUAGCUAGUUGGUAAGGUAACGGCUUACCAAGGCAACGAUGCAUAGCCGACCUGAGAGGGUGAUCGGCCACACUGGAACUGAGACACGGUCCAGACUCCUACGGGAGGCAGCAGUAGGGAAUCUUCCGCAAUGGGCGAAAGCCUGACGGAGCAACGCCGCGUGAGUGAUGAAGGUCUUCGGAUCGUAAAACUCUGUUAUUAGGGAAGAACAUAUGUGUAAGUAACUGUGCACAUCUUGACGGUACCUAAUCAGAAAGCCACGGCUAACUACGUG